UACAGAGGUCUCAACCGUUGUUCGGAUUCAUUGGGCGUAAAGGGUGCGUAGGCGGCGGGGUAAGUCAGGUGUGAAAUCUCGGGGCUCAACCCCGAAACUGCACUUGAUACUGCCGUGCUUGAGGACUGGAGAGGAGACUGGAAUUUACGGUGUAGCGGUGAAAUGCGUAGAUAUCGUAAGGAAGACCAGUGGCGAAGGCGGGUCUCUGGACAGUUCCUGACGCUGAGGCACGAAGGCCAGGGGAGCAAACGGG
rnacentral:rRNA from 1 species